GGAGAGGGCGGGAGGGCUACUGUUAUGGACAAAUACCAGAAAGAGUAGUUUCAAGUUGGAGAGUUUUACUUAAUUUAUUGCCGUUUAUCAGAUAUUGCUGAUUUGGUGUUAAGAAAUAAAGAACGAAACAAACAUUUUGACUAACACAAUUCCCCACCCCUCUGGACACCACUCCUCCUCUUCCUGAUCCUUCAAGAGCACGUUCUGCAGGUUUAUUAUUCUGCAGACGUGAUCGCUUCUUGUAGGUGAAGGCAUUUAGAGGAGAUAGGCUUGCUUGGCUGAGGUUAUGGCAGGGUUGAUGGCAUGAGCCUAGGUAAAUCUGGCAGAAGAGCAUACUGUCAUACUUCUGUCUUGCCUGCAAUGCAUCUCCGGUGGUGGGCAGUGAGGUGUCAAUAAAUGGAAAAUAUUUGGUCUGUGGGAGAGAUGACUUGUAUUUGUUCUUUCUCAACAGUGCAUUGCUCUCCAGCGCAACACAGAGCUCAGGAUUAAGAGCUGAUGUUGUGCUAUGGCACCAAGCUUGCUUUGGGGGACUGCAGCAUGGUCCACCUUUGUCUUUUCUUGGGGUGAUAAUCGCUGUAUUUUCCAAGGCCAUGCAGCCUCAACCUCAGGGAGCUAACAGCUUCAGGCAAAGAGCUGUUGCUUUGCUUAGUCUGGAAGCAGCAAGAGCUGGGCAUUUCACGUGGAAUGGUGAACUGGGAGCCGAGGGCAACCUGCAGACAGGAGAUGGCAGUGUCCUCAUUACCAAGCGACGCAGUCGUACUGUAUCCAAUAAAGACAAGAAGAACACUUCACCAGUGGUACCUGCGGUCAGCAGCUGCCAGACGUGCACAAAACAAUGACGCUGGAUGAAGUCCAAGUGGAGAGUUGAGUCAGUGGGUGAGUGGUAUCUGGGUAGAUGAAGCAGAUGCUGCCAGCAGCUGUACCCAUUUGCCAGCUCCACACAUCAUUGUGUCCAGCUUUCUGCUUCCAGGCUCCACAGCUGCGCUGACAUUAAAGCAGACAACAGAGACAAAUAAACCAUUGGAGGACUCCAGUAGGAUUGCUCUGCACAGCUGUGUGAUUUACACAGAGCGCCCGGCUCAGCUCCAGAGGAGUCCAGCUGUGUGAGAACUGAAUGAAGGCCAGAUGAUGCCAUUAGCCAUGUUCGGCAUCCAGCUGUGUUUGCAAAAGAGUAAAUCAUCACUGAUGGCAGGAGUCAGAGUCUGCAAGGAUAAAGAAUUCUUCAGUGCCAAUGUGUGAAAGCUGAAGGCAGAUAUACUUAAGUCAGGUGGAUUAUGUUACACUGAGGCAGAGCCAAAAUUGAAAAUGUAAGUAUAUUUUCAUCCUGGUUCAUGAUGAAAGGAUUCAAAUUAAUUAGAAUAUAGCUAAAAUAUUUGAAAUGCUAGGAUAUUCAAAUUUUAAGUUUGCAUCCCAAUUAAAAAAUGCAUUUGAUGGUAAGUGUUGUUCAGAUGGUGCUGGCUUUUUGGAAACUUGUUUGCAAUACCACAUGAGGAUAACUAGCUGCCUCAUAUAACGUAUGAUACCACCCAGCUGAGUUGCUUCACAUCAAAUGUUAUGAAAUCUGACAGGAAAGUGUCACCUCAAGAAAACGUAAGUUCAGGCAGGCAUCUUGUUAUCCAGCGUUCACUCAAAAUUUCUUCUCUUGAGAUAGGCUAAAAGCCUCUUUAAUUCAUGGCACCUGGGAGUAUUUUCUUUAACUCAAAAUUAUCUGGCUGACUCUAUUUCCCUGCAUGAAGCAGUAAUUGCUGGCAAACAAAUCCAUUUAUCAGCAGACAGUCAGACGGAACUGAAGGAAGGUUUUUCCAUUACCUUCUUUUUUACAGAUGCGGCAGCCAUCCAACAAAAAUUACUUUAAUUUUAUGCUUGCAGCAUAGCAUUUCAACAUCCUCUGCUUGUGAGUGUGAUCAGCAAUGAGUGGGGAACGGAAGAGUGAAGCAGGAAAAGUCUAGACUUCUGGCAGUGCUUCAGCUCUUAUGAAGCAUGCUUGCAUUCAUUUCAAGCUAUGGGAAAAUAUAUGGCCCAUGAAGGUCACCGCAUUCAUGGCUUGUGGAGGAAGCCAAACUAUUAGCGGAAUACAGUUUUCUGGAUAACUUGCCUAAGUUAUUCCUUUACUACUGGAAGUUCACUGAAGUAGAUAUGAUACGAAGAUCUCCAAGGGGUUAGAGCUGGGUGAGAAGUCGAGUCAAAACAGCUCUGUCUUUAGAGGGAAUAAGAUGAAGCUGGCAUGAAAGUUUUUCAAUAUUUUCUAGUGCUAGCAAUUUCUCUUCCCCUCUCUUUCCCAUUCCUUUAUUCUAGAAUAUAUUGAUUUGCUACAUUCAAUAAUGACAUUCAAUAAUGACAUUGACACGAACACCAGCUACUGGCAAAGAGAAGUUUUGAGAUUAGCAGCACGCAGUCUAUGUAUCACGGUUGAGCAGGAACGGCAGGGAAUUGCUUUCUAAAGCAGGCCCUUCUGCCCACAGAGAAUAAAUGAAUGGAGCAGCAGAGAGUUCAAUGAGACUGCCAAUUUUCCUCUGGUUGGUCAAUAGGAUGUUAAUUAUCAUAGCUUAACCCAGCUCAAUGAACUUAACUUUUAUUGGAAAUGAGAUCUUUAUGUUUAGAAUUAUGAAGUGUUUAGUGCCAAGAAAUCUUUAUUGUACAGACCACAGCUACGCUUCUUGUAUGAGAUUAGGAUACUGAUUAGCUGAGCAUACGUCGUCAAGUAAUAACUUUUAGAGAUGUUUGCUGUCUCAAUGAAUGUUAAUCAAAUUUAAUUGGUCCUUGUUAUAUCAUGUAAACUGAACUGGCUUUACAAAUUGCUAUUUAUUGUUUUAUCAUACAGGUCUGAUUUGCGUGCACUAGUUCAAUUUCCUUCUGAAAGAGUGCUUGUUUCUUUGCCUAUUUUCUAUACAUUUUUAAAGUCUGUAAUUCCUGGAUUCCUUUUUGUACCUCAAAGUAUUC